UUUGCCCCCUUGUAAAACAAAUAACUGUAUCAUCCAUACAGAGAAAAAUAAGAAUAAGUCGUAAACCUGGUCAAGUAUCAUGGAAACUGUUUCUUUGGCUGUUCCCAGCUUCAUCUUCUUAAUUCCCGCUUCACCGUGCACUCCCGCGCCUAGUUCCAUCUCAUCAGCAGCUAUCUCGAACAGCGGCGGUUGACCUGAAUUUCAAAACGGAGUAAAUUACAUGAGCACGUGCCCCGUGGGUGGCGAAGCGAACACGCCGCCCGCCACCGCGCCGUCCAGCAUGCCGCUUCCCACCAGACCUGGACACAAAUUCCUACUAUAUCUGCGGCCA